UUACAAAAGAAGUUUGACCUUCACCUUAAACUUCAAAAAUUUAUAUGCCCAUACACCGCAUUGUA
rnacentral:tRNA from 1 species